UGGAAACCCGCCUUUAUUUUUAUGAAGACCCUACCAUAAAACAAGUUUUACUGGACGGAGUCACUUUUAGUUUGCAUUUAAAUGCGAGGAUGUGUAGUUUUAUUGUCAUAUUUAUAUUCUGUGCCGUAGCAGAUAAAUGUAUUUUUGCGAGAAAAAAUGCAAGAAAUAAAACGGCAAACUUUUGAAGUCGAGAAUAGAUGGACAUGGGGUUACUACGAAGAAACUAAUAUCAGAUUUUAAAUCUUGGACUAGUCAGGUUGAAACUAG